ACGAAAGCCUUAGAGUGACUCGAUUCUGAAU
rnacentral:piRNA from 1 species